AUUCCAGCUCCAAUAGCGUAUAUUAAAGUUGUUGCAGUUAAAAAGCUCGUAGUCGGAUUUUGGUACCAAGCCGAACGGUCUGCCGAACGGUAUGCACUGUUUAGCGGGUACUUCCUUCCGGAAGCCCGUGCUCUCCUUAAUUGGAUGGCACGGUGAGUCCGGAUCAUUUACUUUGAAAAAAUUAGAGUGUUCAAAGCAGGCCUAUGCUCUGAAUAGCUUAGCAUGGAAUAAUAGAAUAGGACUUCGGUACUAUUUUGUUGGUUUCUAGGACCGAAGUAAUGAUUAAUAGGGACAGUUGGGGGCAUUUAUAUUCCAUUGUCAGAGGUGAAAUUCUUGUAUUUAUGAAAGACGAACUACUGCGAAAGCAUUUACCAAGGAUGUUUUCAUUA
rnacentral:rRNA from 1 species